rnacentral:rRNA from 1 species
GAUGAACGCUGGCGGCGUGCCUAAUACAUGCAAGUCGAGCGAACAGACGAGGAGCUUGCUCCUCUGACGUUAGCGGCGGACGGGUGAGUAACACGUGGAUAACCUACCUAUAAGACUGGGAUAACUUCGGGAAACCGGAGCUAAUACCGGAUAAUAUAUUGAACCGCAUGGUUCAAUAGUGAAAGACGGUUUUGCUGUCACUUAUAGAUGGAUCCGCGCCGCAUUAGCUAGUUGGUAAGGUAACGGCUUACCAAGGCAACGAUGCGUAGCCGACCUGAGAGGGUGAUCGGCCACACUGGAACUGAGACACGGUACAGACUCCUACGGGAGGCAGCAGUAGGGAAUCUUCCGCAAUGGGCGAAAGCCUGACGGAGCAACGCCGCGUGAGUGAUGAAGGUCUUCGGAUCGUAAAACUCUGUUAUUAGGGAAGAACAAAUGUGUAAGUAACUAUGCACGUCUUGACGGUACCUAAGCAGAAAGCCACGGCUAACUACGU